CUGUAAGAGAAAAUUGGUUCAUGCAAUUUUAAGGCCGGUGACACACUGGCUGCGUGGCGUGAGUGUGCCGUUUUUGUUGCGUGGCGGCUGCGUCACGUUUUCUGUGUCUUUACACACCAGAACCGUGCCUGACGUGGCGCUGGCGCGCUGCUGCUGCUGAAGGUGACAUAGAGGGAGGCCGCUGACAGACCAGGCUCUUGUCUUCAUGACAACAAUUUCAACUUUUUUCACACACAUACACCUUCCAAAAUCCGAAAAAUGGGGCGUGAGUGCUGAAUACUGGAGUCUCAUUCAAAUGCUGCAGCGGAGGGAGUUGCCAUGGAAACGGGGCAACAACACCAACUGACAAACUUCCCUCGCAGCUGUUUUCACUUCUUUCAGUUCAGCAGAGUUGGAGCAGACCUCCUGUCGGACAACAUCUCUAAGGCGCUAUGAACCAUAUGACUGGAUCUUGUGAGAAGUACUUCAUCUGAUACUGCCGCGAAGUUUCCCCUCCAUCCUCUCCACCACCACCAGGUUGGCUCUGUCCAUGCGGGGGUAUGCUCUGCUCUUAGUCUUUGGCAGGAAUAGCUGAAAUCUACAACGUCUGAUUCAAGCUACAGAUGGGGCCUACGCCAAAAUAAUUUUGUUCUUUUUGUAUUGGUUUUGUAAAUAAAUUCUUUUGCAUUUUAUCUUC